UACGUAGGGGGCAAGCGUUGUCCGGAAUUAUUGGGCGUAAAGCGCGCGCAGGUGGUUCUUUAAGUCUGAUGUGAAAUCUCGCGGCUCAACCGCGAGCGGUCAUUGGAAACUGGGGAACUUGAGUGCAGAAGAGGAAAGUGGAAUUCCACGUGUAGCGGUGAAAUGCGUAGAGAUGUGGAGGAACACCAGUGGCGAAGGCGACUUUCUGGUCUGUAACUGACACUGAGGCGCGAAAGCGUGGGGAGCGAACAGG
rnacentral:rRNA from 1 species